UUCUACUUAAUAUUCUGCCUUUUUAACCUCUUGAUUCCUUAGAAAGAAUAAUUUAUAAUAGAAUUUGUUUGGAUGGCAUUUGGGCUUAAUUUUUCUUUUCUGCUUGGUGUAAGGAAGGAUGUAAUAGAGCUCAACAAAGAUGUCACAAGGAGGAAAUGUAACAAAAAACCUGAGGACGUUGUUUCAGUUUUUUUCCUAAGUUUUCCUCAAGAUACACAUAACACAUUCAGCACUUUUCCUCAUAUAGUCUCAAGCCUUUGAACAGAACAUAGCUUUUCUUAAAUUUAACCAUUAGCUUUCUGUGUAAAAAAGAGCAACAGAAUACUUUAGAAUACCUAAUACAGCUGGGUUUUUUUUCCUGCUCUUUUAUAGCAACCUAAGAUGGGAGAACAGGUUCUUCCCACGCAGCAGAAUCCCUGGUGCCUUUUUUGAACUGGAUUGCCAAAAAUUGCCUUUGCCUUUCUCUUCAGAACUACAGUGUUGAAUAUGGUUACGAUCACCCUCUAUUUUUCCAAUAUUGAUGUGGCCACAUUAUACAAGUUUAAAAUAGACAGGAAAUGGGACAAUAAUUCCCCAUCUGAAACAUGGAUUUUGUAUAGUCAUGGUUUUGUUUACCCCACAGUGUUCUUUAAGCAAUCACUUGUUAUCUUUUACUGGUGCCAAGGUUAACCCUCAUAAAACAACAGUAUUUGUACUAAGCAACCUAUUUAAAAUAUUUAACAUUCUUAGAUGCUCUGUUUAUCUAAGUGGCAUAUUCAUUUUUCCUUUUCCUGACCAAACUCAUAGAAAUAUAUUUUCUUCCUUCAAGAAAUGGGAAAACAAAGUUUAUUUAGUUAUGGAUUUGGUUCUGAACAAUUUUAAUCCACUUCCUUAUCCUUCUAUGAAAUUUUCCUGCCUUGGGAUAAAAUUAUUUAUUGAUAUCAUGCAGUAACAGAUGCAUGCAUUACAUGCUCAUGCAGACAGGGAAAUUUUUAUCCUCAGGAGACUUGAAAGGUUGGAGGAUCUUUUAGUCCAAUAAACUUUUCAAGUUUAUAGGAAUGAAAAAAACCCAAACAAAAGCAAAUAGAAACCCCAAACAAAACCUGUUUCCUGUUGAUGAAUGGAGCACUGAGGCUGAGGAGCAGCAGUGGCACAGAGCUCAGCUAAGGGCCUGGCUCAGGGAAUACCAUGUGGAUAAAGCAGGCUGGCUGUGGCCAGGGGCAGCUGCAAUGAGACCUCGUUACAAGUGCACAAAGUGAGAUAAAGCCUGAGGACCUGGCAGCAACGAAAUUCCCCAUCUCGCUGCUGCUUUCAAAAUGCUUGCAGAAUGCCAGCUGAAAUGAAGAGUACUAAGGAGGUGAAUUGCACUGAAGAUUUUCGACAUCCUUUUGAAAGCUUCCUGCAGGAAAGAUGAAAUUUCAAACCUGUAUAUUAUCUGAACCUUGAUCUCAUCCUGUCUGCUAUUGAAAUAUAUGACCCAAAAGUGCUUCCCUCUGAAUUAGGCACUCAUCGUGCAUUUUAACCUUCUUGGACAAAAUUAUGCAGGUCUCUGGGUUGCCUGCAUGAGUUAUCUUUUAUUCAUUAGAAUCCUAAAUGUUAUUGACAUGCAUUCUUAAUUAUUCCCUGCUGGAACCAGUAGUGUUCCUGAGCAAGUAUUUUACAUUUGUUAUGUCCUGCUGCUAGCACAGUUAAUAAUGUAUAUAAUAAUAAAAUAAGAAACUAUCAGAGCAGAAUAAAAGAACUUAUUAAUAUGAUUCAACAUGAUUUCACAGCCUAACAACAACAUUUUCUGAAUACUUCAAGCAUGCAAAACCUUUGGGAUAGGUCUAGCAUGGAAAUGUCACUACCAAAAGAAAAGCUGGCAAGAUGUCACCUGCUGUCCCUCCAAAAGCAUUAACUGGAGAAGUACCUUCCUUAGUGCAACUCAAGGUGUUACCAAAAGCUUUCAAAAGUGGUAUCUGGACAUGUGUCUGGAAUUAGUGGUUGUUUAU